rnacentral:tRNA from 2 species
GCUGAAGUAGCUCAGUCGGUAGAGCGACGCCCUCAUAAGGCGCAGGUCGUGGGUUCGAGUCCCGCCCUCAGCACCA